UGGGGAAUUUUGCACAAUGGGCGCAAGCCUGAUGCAGCCAUGCCGCGUGUAUGAAGAAGGCCUUCGGGUUGUAAAGUACUUUCAGUCGGGAGGAAGGUGGUAAGGUUAAUAACCUUAUCAAUUGACGUUACCGACAGAAGAAGCACCGGCUAACUCCGUGCCAGCAGCCGCGGUAAUACGGAGGGUGCAAGCGUUAAUCGGAAUUACUGGGCGUAAAGCGCACGCAGGCGGUUGAUUGAGUCAGAUGUGAAAUCCCCGGGCUUAACCCGGGAAUUGCAUCUGAUACUGGUCAGCUAGAGUCGUGUAGAGGGGGGUAGAAUUCCAUGUGUAGCGGUGAAAUGCGUAGAGAUGUGGAGGAAUACCGGUGGCGAAGGCGGCCCCCUGGACAAAGACUGACGCUCAGGUGCGAAAGCGUGGGGAGCAAACAGG
rnacentral:rRNA from 1 species